UUUCAUUUCGUAUUGUCCCGCUUCCAUGAGUGGAGUUAAGGAAAUACUGACAACUUGAGAUAGGGACACAAUUCUUUAAACCAAAUAUCUCCUCAUGCAAUUUUGGAGACUGAAUCCUUCAUGAAAAGUGCAGCCUGAUUUGAACUUGACAUUUGUUCUGAGAAAGAAAUGGCAAAUGUAGAGGAUGAACUUUGUAGAGUUGGACUUUAUAAAUAAUUGCUGGUCAGCACCUUCAAUCACACAUCAGAACAUACGGUUCAAUGCAAUCUGCAUAAGUUUUCU